ensembl:snoRNA small nucleolar RNA U3
AAGGCUAUACUUUCAGGGAUCAUUUCUAUAGUAUGUUACUAGAGAAGCUUCUCUGAUUGUGUAGAGCACCAGAAACCACAAGGAGGAGGUGUAGUGUUCCUUCCUGAGUGUGAAGCCGGCUGUUGGUGUUGCUUGAGUGCAAAGCCACUUGCCAUUGAUGAUCGUUCUUGCUGUCUCCUUGGAAUCAGCGAGAGGGGAGAAAUGCAGUCUGAGUGGUG